GAAAGCAAUACCGAACUAAAAUCUCUAGCAGAUAGCAGUCGAAUUUUAUUUUCUACUUUCCGGGUGUCAGAAUAACAUGAAACUUUAAAUCUAGUUUCAUAAAAAUAAUCCUGACAUAUUUCUAGAUUUUUAUAAUUUUCUGACACUAUAAAUUUUCUGCUAAAAUAUUAGCCUCAUUCUUUACAGAAAAUUCUAAAUCUUUUGUUUUCAUUCCAAUUUCAUCACGAGUCACUUUCAACUCAUAUUUUACUUCUUUAAGUCCAAUAAAAAUAGUAUCUCACACUAUUUUUAUUUACACAUACUUUUAUAUUAAAAUCUGGUACAUUACAGACAGAGCCUCCCUUGUCCGCCCAAGGCUCAACAAGCAACAUGUACA
rnacentral:lncRNA from 1 species